rnacentral:lncRNA from 1 species
AACAGAAUUGCCAUAAAGAAGCUGUGGAUGAACUCACUAAAGCAAUAGAAGUUUCAUCUAUCCCUAAGAGAGUAUGUCAAGUUGGCUGUUUUUCCACAUCUAUUCUCCAAACACCAGCGCUUUGUCGAAGAGCGUAUGCACAUGUGAAGUGUGAAAAUUGGAAAAAAGCAAUAGAUGAUGCUAACAAGGCUGCCCAAUUGGACCCUGCAAACCCUGUAAGUACUAGUGAUAUGAACCGUAUGUUCUAGCAUUUAAUUUCCAUUAGUGCUUGAUUUUGUUCGUUUAGCUCUUACUGAUGUCCCAGAAAUCAUUUGUCUAGUCUGAUGUAUUUGUUGUGUGGGAGCACUACAUUGACUAGCUUUUAAAUGGUGAUACUGUAAUCAAAAU